rnacentral:sRNA from 1 species
AAGGACAGAUUGCUAA